GGUCGCAUAGUCUAGUGGUUAUGAUAUCUGCUUUACAGCUGUGAGCAGGGAUCCAACUGUCACGCAGAGGGUCGCAGGUUCGAGCCCUGCUGCGACCA